UACAGAGGGUGCGAGCGUUGUCCGGAAUCACUGGGCGUAAAGGGCGCGUAGGCGGUUCUCUAAGCGGGCGGUGAAAGCCCGGGGCUCAACCCCGGGUCGGCCGUGCGAACUGGGGGACUCGAGCACUGUAGAGGCAGGUGGAAUUCCGGGUGUAGCGGUGGAAUGCGCAGAUAUCAGGAGGAACACCAAUAGCGAAGGCAGCUCGCUGGGACGGUAUUGACGCUAAGGCGCGAAAGCGUGGGGAGCAAACAGG
rnacentral:rRNA from 1 species